GACGAACGCUGGCGGCGUGCUUAACACAUGCAAGUCGAGCGGUAAGGCCCUUUCGGGGGUACGACGAGCGGCGAACGGGUAGGAGUAACAACGUGGGUGGACCUCGCCCUCCAGCUCUGGGAGUAAAGCCUCGGGAAACCGGGUACGUAAUAACUGGAUAUGACUCCAUGACGCAUGUUGUGGGGUGGAAAGACCUUGUGCGGCUGAGGAUGGGCCCGGCCGGCCUAUCAGCUUGUUGGUGGGGUGAUGGCCUACCAAGGCGACGACGGGUAGCCGGCCUGAGAGGGCGACCGG
rnacentral:rRNA from 1 species